rnacentral:lncRNA from 1 species
AAAAAAGAACAUAAGAGAUGCGAGAUUGAGAAGAAAGGUGCGAUAAAAAUAUAAUUAAAAGAGAAAAUAGUAACAUAAAAGAUGAAAAAGAAAGAACAUAAGAGAUGACUUAUUAGAGUAGAAUAAACGAAACCUACAUGGAAAAGAAGACGAGCAGAAUGUGUGAUACUACUAUGAGAGAUUUAAGAAGGUUGAAAUUGAAACCCUAAGCGUGAGUAAGAGAAAAUCAUUUGUAAUUGUAAGGUUAAGGCAUAC